AAUCGUAGCAAUCUCAGCUGCUGGACAAUCAAAUAGAUGCAGCGAAACAUGCUAUAAUCUUACCAAUCACUGCAAAAACUCGAACCCAAAAAUCCAUCACCAUCAUCAUAAAGACGAUUUGGGGCAAACCCAAAGAGUCGCUCAACAUGUGAACACGAGGACUCAUGUUCCUGAAGUUUACUAAUUGAAAGGAAAGGCUUCGUGCAGUAGCAACAAAUGAAUCGCGAGCGUGACAGUAAGGGACUACUGUGAAAAACUAAAUCGGCAUCAUCAAUAUGCCUUCGUUUUG